CCGUGGAACGGUAGGGUUGUCGAGCUGCUGCUCGGGACCAGGCGGGCGGGACGGUGCUACGCCAAAGGCCGGAGGCCUGAGGUCCUUUUGGGAAAUGCGAGGAGACCGGUGCGGCCAAUAUAACCGAAGGCAUGGCUGAGUUUUCUGGGCGUUCUCGCCCGCGCACAGUGACUUGGUGGGACGGGCAGGGCCUGACUGCGGGCUGCGCGCGGGCAUUUUAAAGUUAUAUUAGGGAUCUUUCUUGGUGUCAGAGUCGCUCAAAGGAAAUGGUUCUGGGGAUGAUACCUCCACCUUCCAACUGAUCCGUUAUAGUUUUGCUACAAUGCUUGUCAGGCGGCAGGACCCGUGAGCUGGGGGUUGCUUGUCUCUGAACCACCCCAGGGAGCGGAUUCAGAAUACCUGAAGAUGAAGGAGGUGCAAAUAGUGGUUAAGACCGGCUCUGGAGUGAGAUGGGCAGUCGCGUCCUGACUCCACCUCCUGGCCUUCUGACCUGCCUGAGCCAGUGACGUAAGUCCUCUCUGAACCUCAGUUAUCGGGCGGUACGAUGGGAGUAAUGAUAGUAUAUAACUUACAGGAUGGUUGAGAGAACUGAAUAAUGGCUGUCCAAUGGCUAACCAGGCGCCUACUACGUAUAGUAUGCACUAAUAAAUUAUCGUUAGUGUUGUGAUGACUAGGGCAGAUCUUGGCAGCGCUCCCUUCACCUGUUUUUAAUUUUGGAGUUCCAGUAGCACUGAAGAAAAGAGAUCCAGCUUUUGGAAAAGAAGAGAGAAAUAGGUAACUGGGUUCUAUAAGGGCCAUUUCCGUUUGUCUGCUAUGAUAAGGGGAUAGUUGUUUUGGUUCACCUCAGCUAACAUUAGUGGGCGCUGAGGAUGCUGAAAAAAAUUGACUCUCCUCAUCCUGUAGGAACUUACAUUAGACCAAGGGGGUCAGAGGAGUUGCCCUUGGCGUCAGUGUGGUAAGGGUAAUGUAGAAAGUACUGCAGAAACACAGAUGCAUUACAGUUCUGCUGGGUCAGGAAAGGCCUCAGACAUUUAAACUCCAUAUUUUAAACAUACUGAGGAACAGUGGUUUUCCUGCAUACAAGGAGGGGAAAGGGUAGCCCAGGAAGAGAAAAAUAGCAUUGAUUGCUAUGUUAAAAGUUUUCAAACUCCUUGCAUUUCCAAGUGCUUUUAUAAACAUUUACUAUUCAUAUCCAUAAAAAAUCUUUAUGAGUAACAUGUUUAGGGCUCAAAGAGUUUUAAAUGAUCUGCUCAAAGUCACCUAGAUGCUGAAUUCCAAAACGAAGAUCAAAAUCCCUUGCUACCUGUUACUAUGUAAUUUUCACCUUACCAUAUGGCCUUGUACACCUACUCAUCUUGAAGUAUCAGAGCUUCUGUGGUUUAUAAGCACAGUAUUUCAACUUUGGCUGCCUGUCAGAAUCACCUGUAGGGCUUUAAAAAUUACAGAUGUCUAAUCCACUCCCAGACUUAUUAAAUCAGAAGGGGUGUGGAUUGUAUGGAAGGAACUUGUAAUUUUCUUUUUAAAGCCCCGCAGGUGGUGUUGGUACCAGAACUGAGAAUUAACUGGAUUCCAACCUUUAUUUUUUUUUAACUUCACAUCACAGCUAUAUCUAAAAGGUCAAUUACAUGGAUGUUGUAUUUCAUAUACUCAGAAAAUAUAAGUUCCCAAGUUCUCUAGGCUUAUGAUAGACAAGAAGUUUAAUAGACACGUUCCUCCUUGGCCAACAGAUUUUUCCUUCGCUUAAAUCCUUGCUGAAAAUAGGGGCAAGAUGUGAAUAGGGCAAAUCUCAGCAGCAUAGGGCAACCUAUGAAUGAAUGCAUAGGUUUUCAUUUAUUAAGAGAAACCAGAGUAAAUGUUUUCUGGGAAAAAUGCUUUGAAAAUGAACACAUCCUAGCUUGAUUGGUCAGGAAGUGCAAUUAUCUGUCGAAUAUUUUUAACUAAGUUAGUCUAGGUCAAUAGCCUCAAAGCAUACUCUCUAGAAAGUUAAUCUCUGGAGAUGCUUCCAGAAAGGAGGGUUCCAUGGCUAUAUACAUUGAUAUUUGCCACGUACAGAUGCAAAGGAGGCUAUGAUUAGCUUAGGUCAGUCAGAGUCGAUCAUUGUGGACAUCAACAUACUGCUGUCCCAAAUCAGAUUAAAGUCAUGUUAAAACUGAGUAAGUAGGGAAUGGAUUUUAGGUAAGCACCUAAAAUGUCACAACUUUGUUGAACCUAUUUUCCAAACAUUUUCAACACUACCCAUUUUGUGAAAUACCAUGAAAACUUGGGAAAUGCUAGCCUUGCACAUGUGUGUGCACAUGCACACACAGCCCAACUCAUGAAUGAUUUCAGAGAUUGGAAUAUGUUCGUAUUGACAAUUUUUACAUAUUCUAAGGUGAAUCAGACUUAGUUUGCAACUGUCUUGCUUCAUUAGACUUAGUUAUCCUGGAUAGGUUUCUUUAGGAAACUCCAUAUAUAAGCUCUGUCCUUUAAUCAAUGUAGAUUAGUAGGAUUUGUAGAGAUAGACUUUAGACAUCCAUGCAACUCAACUUUCACUUCAUAGAUUUGGAAACUGAGGUCCAGAGAGGUUAAUUUACUCUAAGUGAUUCUGUCUCCAGAUAUCCAGGUCAGCAUUUUUUCAUCUCAUACUGUCUGUCCUGUCCCAUGCUCUACCUGUAGCAUCUUCACUAAUGAAAUGAUGUGGAACAUGGAUAUUACUGGGCAUGCUGCUCAGAGUCAAACUUUUGGAAAGAUGGUCAAAGCGAUUAAAAUACUACAUUUCAACUUCACAUCAUCUCUUUGGAGUCGGUCUCGUGAGAUCCCUGGUCUUUAGAUUUUCCUCUCGGAACAUACUCCCCACCUCUAUCCAUCUCCCUAAUGGCUCCUUCCCUGAUCCCAUGAUUUGGGGAGUGGGUGCUGACAAGACAGGCCUGGGUAUGUUCCUGAUGGGAAAGGGGCCCAGGAAAAAGGUAGAUACCCAGACUUUCAGUCAGACAAGGUCCCACCAGGUCCAGUUCUGCUUACCAGAGUUAGGGCUUCCCCCCAAGUGUAUGUGUCCAGACUUUUAUGUAAUAAUAAACAUGGCUUUGAUCUGCCUUUAUCCUCCUUUGGAGGCUUAGUAAAGGUAACUGCUCAGUAGUAGGCAAGUUGCAGGCAGAGACCCUGCCUUUGGCUCUCUCUCCAUGACAAUGCUCCUGAGUCAGGUCUGGUCACCAGGAGAAAUCACAGCAUAUUUGAGCAGUGAAGUUAGCAUAAGGAUAACACUAACAAAGUUGUUAACUAGGUAAUCGGAAAGGUGAAAAGAGAGCUCUAAGGUGUCAGAGAGGCAGCAACUGCAGGAAGCACCUUCCUGGCUGGGGGAUCAAAAGGAAGAGGUCAGUAGUAUUACAUUUUAGAAACUUGGAGGAUGAGGGCGCUGUGUUCCGGGGCCUCUGAUCUCCGAGGGGCACCUGGCUGAGCAGACGUGUGAGGAAAGCUGCACACGGGGAUCAACUGCCGCUGCUGGAGUGAGGAAGCAGAGUGAGGCUCAUGGACUGGCCUACAGACCUAGGGAAGCUGGGCUGAGAAUGUGAUUCCUAGCACUGAGGCAGCCAUCUUGCACCUAUGAAGUAGCAAGCUUGAGGACAAGAAAGCACGCUGAGAGAGGCAGAGCAGAGAAAACAAAGCUCAGUUUCUGGAUGAAAUUGUUGAGCCACUGCAUGAAGUCUGAAACAUUAUCCGCAGGCUUAUUGCUGUGAAGCAUAUUGCUCUGCUCAAUCUACCAUCUAGUUUCUGUUUAACCCAUCCUGGAUGGUAAGUUCAACAAGUAGAACUGGAACCCAGCAACCUGGGGCAUCAAAGCGGAGGUCAGAUGAUAUGAAGAGACAACUGAAAUCAUUUCAGAUAGCUGAAAGGCAUGUCAUGUUUAACAAAAAUAAAAACAAUUUGAAUAUG